CCUACGGGAGGCAGCAGUGGGGAAUUUUGGACAAUGGGCGAAAGCCUGAUCCAGCCAUUCCGCGUGCAGGAUGAAGGCCCUCGGGUUGUAAACUGCUUUUGUACAGAACGAAAAGGUUUCUAUUAAUACUAGGAGCUCAUGACGGUACUGUAAGAAUAAGCACCGGCUAACUACGUGCCAGCAGCCGCGGUAAUACGUAGGGUGCAAGCGUUAAUCGGAAUUACUGGGCGUAAAGCGUGCGCAGGCGGUUAUACAAGUCAGAUGUGAAAUCCCCGGGCUCAACCUGGGAACUGCAUUUGAGACUGUAUAGCUAGAGUACGGUAGAGGGGGAUGGAAUUCCGCGUGUAGCAGUGAAAUGCGUAGAUAUGCGGAGGAACAUCGAUGGCGAAGGCAAUCCCCUGGACCUGUACUGACGCUCAUGCACGAAAGCGUGGGGAGCAAACAGGAUUAGAUACCCUGGUAGUCCACGCCCUAAACGAUGUCAACUGGUUGUAGGGUCUUAACUGACUCAGUAACGAAGCUAACGCGUGAAGUUGACCGCCUGGGGAGUACGGCCGCAAGGUUGAAACGUCAAAUGAAUUGACGG
rnacentral:rRNA from 1 species